CAGGCCCGUAUGAGCUCGUGCCGUGAGGUGUUAGGUUAAGUCCUGCAACGAGCGCAACCCCUGUCACUAGUUGCCAUCAUUAAGUUGGGGACUCUAGUGAGACUGCCUACGCAAGUAGAGAGGAAGGUGGGGAUGACGUCAAAUCAUCACGGCCCUUACGCCUUGGGCCACACACGUAAUACAAUGGCCAGUACAGAGGGCAGCUACACAGCGAUGUGAUGCAAAUCUCGAAAGCUGGUCUCAGUUCGGAUUGGAGUCUGCAACUCGACUCUAUGAAGCUGGAAUCGCUAGUAAUCGCGCAUCAGCCAUGGCGCGGUGAAUACGUUCCCGGGCCUUGUACACACCGCCCGUCAAGCCAUGGAAGUCUGGGGUACCUGAAGUCGGUGACCGUAACAGGAGCUUCCUUU
rnacentral:rRNA from 1 species